ACAACCCUGAACGGUGGAUCACUCGGCUCGUGGGUCGAUGAAGAACGCAGCAAAUUGCGCGUCGACAUGUGAACUGCAGGACACAUGAACAUCGACGUUUCGAACGCACAUUGCGGUCCUUGGAUUACCAAUCCCGGACCACGCCUGGCUGAGGGUCG
rnacentral:rRNA from 1 species